UCCAAACUGCAUUUCAUCCAAAUUAAAACUGCUGCUAACUUUAGCUGCUGUUAGCUUAGUUAGCCGUGCAGCUAGCAGUCAACACUGUAGCCUUGGAGAUUCAGAUUCAGGAGCUUUCGACAGACAACUUGAGGAGGUUUAACUCCGUUUUGCUCGCUGGAAUGAACACCAGAAAUAGAAGCAGAACCUGCCGCACCACUGAGCUCAGAACAGCAAUGAAAAUUUGAUAUUUACAUAAAUGAAAAAGUAAACGAAUACAGCUUCAACUGGUGCAGCUGGCGUUAUAAAACAUGCACAGUAUGAACGUACUGCUAAGACUUAUACACGUGUACGGCAGCUGUGACAUUCACGGAUCAAAGUUGAUUUCCACGCCUGCGUCUGGCUGACAGGCGCUCCCCGGACAUCUGCUGCUCCCCCUCCACACCAUAUUGAUUCCAGGGCGAGGUGAAGCCAGGGGGAAAUCAAGAGCCUUUUAUCCCACCUCAUAUAUCAGCGAGCUGAAGCAGUGGUGCUCGUGGACCUUGGAGUGAACAAAUGCGAGCGCUCUGGAUGAUCCCGCGCUGGUCAGUCUUCAUCAUAAACCCGGCACGAGCAUCAUGUUGUCAUCACUCCACGCCAGUUUUAAGACCCUGAUAAAGUGCUGGCGCGAUCUGUGUCCAUCCUCACUGACACCACCGGCAGCCAAUUAAAUUCCCUCCAGGACAGGCCAGACUCUGAGGCAGGUGGCGUUUGGUAAAGAGGGACAUUAAGGGCUUUCUGGCCACGCAUGUUGGCCCACAGAAGAAAUAUUCAUGACCUCGACUGGAGAGAAAAAUCUCAGUGCAGAGGAAUUUCACACACACAGUAUUAUUAUUAUUAAUAAUAACAACACCUCUGAUGAAGACGGUCGCACAUGACAAACGAGGUUGAGAACCGGCUCGACCGUGCUGCCUUCAGGUUAUGUAGGAAAUGGUAGCGUCAUGACUCAGCCUACAUCCAAAAAUAAUGUGAUUGCUGUUGGUGUGAAAGGGACAAGACUGCAGUUUUUUUUUUGUUUUUUAGGCAGCACACAUGUCAUCAGUCAAGUUACAGACACACACACACUCCAUAACGUCACAUAAUGCAGCUCAGCAGUCACAUUUUUCAGUGUGACAUUUCUACCUAGACAUUUGUCUGAACGCAGCGUGAGUCGGUGCUGAAAAUGUCACAAGACUGCCAGAAGGUUGCUCCAAAGGUUCAAGAUUGAUGCUUUAAAAUUUAAAAAUUGCAAUUUUGUUUUCCACAUUCAUCUCCUUAAUAAUCUGUUUUGACUUUGCAUUUUAAAAACAGACUGAAGCUUUUCAAUCCGCUGGCAAAAAAAAAAAAAAACCAGGCCCAGUCUGAGAGCGAACAGCAGGACGUGCAUGGAUGUGUUAUGAGGUAAACGAAUUAAAGUGACUGUUUAUCUGAACUCUUAAGGGUUGUUGCUCAACAGCAACAAGCAUCUGCUCAGUUUCAUCCAAACAGAUGCCUGAUAACACUGAGCCCUGCACAUACGCUGGUGACAGAGAACUGCCUGGACCGCAUACUGAACACUGUGACACGAGGCUGCCUUUAUGUUUCAUUUUCCAUCAAACUGAAAAUGUUUUAUGUAAAUUCAACUGCUCUCUGAUUCAUUUCUCGAUAAAGCCCCUGAAAGACUCACAGAGCUGACUCACUGAAUCUGAAUCCAAAGAAGUAUGACGUCAAAAAUA